rnacentral:rRNA from 1 species
UGCAAGUCGAACGGCAGCAUGAUCUAGCUUGCUAGAUUGAUGGCGAGUGGCGAACGGGUGAGUAAUACAUCGGAACGUGCCCUGUAGUGGGGGAUAACUAGUCGAAAGAUUAGCUAAUACCGCAUACGACCUGAGGGUGAAAGUGGGGGACCGCAAGGCCUCAUGCUAUAGGAGCGGCCGAUGUCUGAUUAGCUAGUUGGUGAGGUAAAGGCUCACCAAGGCGACGAUCAGUAGCUGGUCUGAGAGGACGAUCAGCCACACUGGGACUGAGACACGGCCCAGACUCCUACGGGAGGCAGCAGUGGGGAAUUUUGGACAAUGGGCGAAAGCCUGAUCCAGCAAUGCCGCGUGUGUGAAGAAGGCCUUCGGGUUGUAAAGCACUUUUGUCCGGAAAGAAAUGGCUCUGGUUAAUACCUGGGGUCGAUGACGGUACCGGAAGAAUAAGGACCGGCUAACUACGUGCCAGCAGCCGCGGUAAUACGUAGGGUCCAAGCGUUAAUCGGAAUUACUGGGCGUAAAGCGUGCGCAGGCGGUUGUGCAAGACCGAUGUGAAAUCCCCGAGCUUAACUUGGGAAUUGCAUUGGUGACUGCACGGCUAGAGUGUGUCAGAGGGGGGUAGAAUUCCACGUGUAGCAGUGAAAUGCGUAGAGAUGUGGAGGAAUACCGAUGGCGAAGGCAGCCCCCUGGGAUAACACUGACGCUCAUGCACGAAAGCGUGGGGAGCAAACAGGAUUAGAUACCCUGGUAGUCCACGCCCUAAACGAUGUCAACUAGUUGUUGGGGAUUCAUUUCCUUAGUAACGUAGCUAACGCGUGAAGUUGACCGCCUGGGGAGUACGGUCGCAAGAUUAAAACUCAAAGGAAUUGACGGGGACCCGCACAAGCGGUGGAUGAUGUGGAUUAAUUCGAUGCAACGCGAAAAACCUUACCUACCCUUGACAUGCCACUAACGAAGCA